UACGGAGGGGGCUAGCGUUGUUCGGAAUUACUGGGCGUAAAGCGCGCGUAGGCGGCUUUGUAAGUUAGAGGUGAAAGCCCGGAGCUCAACUCCGGAACUGCCUUUAAGACUGCAUCGCUAGAAUUGUGGAGAGGUAAGUGGAAUUCCGAGUGUAGAGGUGAAAUUCGUAGAUAUUCGCAAGAACACCAGUGGCGAAGGCGGCUCACUGGCCCGGUACUGACGCUGAGGUGCGAAAGCGUGGGGAGCAAACAGG
rnacentral:rRNA from 1 species